AUGAUCACUUUUAACAGGCUGACAUACGUAUGUGCGCAUUGUAAUCUAGUGCCGAAAAAGGAACUUCUUGUUUCAGAGGGGGAAUCCAUCAAGCUUGAUCAACCAUUAACAAGCAAUCCUAAUGUGGGAGGUUUUGGUCAGGGGGACGCAGAAAUCGUGCUUCAGGAUCCAUUACGUGUCCAAGGCCUUUUGUUCUUCUUCGCAUCCGUUAUUUUGGCACAAGUUUUUUUGGUUCUAAAAAAGAAACAGUUUGAAAAGGUUCUUACUAUACCUGUUGACGUAGCAUUAUAG
rnacentral:rRNA from 1 species